rnacentral:rRNA from 1 species
CCUACGGGAGGCUGCAGUGGGGAAUAUUGCGCAAUGGGCGAAAGCCUGACGCAGCAACGCCGCGUGCGGGACGACGGCCUUCGGGUUGUAAACCGCUUUCACCCAUGACGAAGUGAAAAUGACGGUAGUGGGGGAAGAAGCACCGGCCAACUACGGGCCAGCAGCCGCGGUGAUGCGUAGGGUGCGAGCGUUGUCCGGAAUUAUUGGGCGUAAAGAGCUUGUAGGCGGUCUGUUGCGUCGAAAGUGAAAACUCAGGGCUCAACCCUGAGCCUGCUUUCGAUACGGGCAGAAUAGAGGAAGGUAGGGGAGAACGGAAUUCUUGGUGGAGCGGUGGAAUGCGCAGAUAUCAGGAAGAACACCGGUGGCGAAGGCGGUUCUCUGGACCUUUCCUGACGCUGAGAAGCGAAAGCGUGGGUAGCAAACAGGAUUAGAUACCCGAGUAGUC